CCUACGGGUGGCAGCAGUAGGGAAUAUUGCACAAUGAGGGAAACCCUGAUGGAGCGACGCCGCGUGAGUGAAGAAGUAAUUCGUUACGUAAAGCUCUAUCAGCAGGGAAGAAAAUGACGGUACCUGAGUAAGAAGCCCCGGCUAACUACGUGCCAGCAGCCGCGGGAAUACGUAGGGGGCAAGCGUUAUCCGGUUAUACUGGGUGGAAAGGUAUCGUAGACGGUGCGACAAGUCCGGAGUGAAAUGCCGCAGCUUAACUGCGGAACUGCUUUGGAAACUGGCGAACUAGAGUGCGGGAGGGGUAAGCGGAAUUCCUAGUGUAGCGGUGAAAUGCGUAGAUAUUAGGAAGAACACCGGUGGCGAAGGCGGCUUACUGGACCGUAACUGACGUUGAGGGUCGAAAGCGUGGGGAGCAAACAGGAUUAGAUACCCCAGUAGUC
rnacentral:rRNA from 1 species